rnacentral:rRNA from 1 species
UACGUAGGGAGCAAGCGUUGUCCGGAAUCAUUGGGCGUAAAGCGCGCGUAGGUGGCCAUUUAAGUCCGCUGUGAAAGUCAAAGGCUCAACCUUUGAAAGCCGGUGGAUACUGGAUGGCUAGAGUACGGAAGAGGCGAGUGGAAUUCCUGGUGUAGCGGUGGAAUGCGCAGAUAUCAGGAGGAACACCAAUAGCGAAGGCAGCUCGCUGGGACGUUUACUGACACUGAGGCGCGAAAGCGUGGGGAGCGAACAGG